rnacentral:rRNA from 1 species
AUUGAACGCUGGCGGCAUGCUUUACACAUGCAAGUCGAACGGCAGCACGGGUGCUUGCACCUGGUGGCGAGUGGCGAACGGGUGAGUAAUGCAUCGGAACGUAUCCAAUAAUGGGGGAUAACGCACCGAAAGGUGUGCUAAUACCGCAUACGCCCUGAGGGGGAAAGUGGGGGACCGUAAGGCCUCACGUUAAUGGAGCGGCCGAUGCCUGAUUAGCUAGUUGGUGAGGUAAAGGCUCACCAAGGCGACGAUCAGUAGCUGGUCUGAGAGGACGAACAGCCACACUGGGAGUGAGACACGGCCCAGACUCCUACGGGAGGCAGCAGUGGGGAAUUUUGGACAAUGGGCGCAAGCCUGAUCCAGCCAUGCCGCGUGAGUGAAGAAGGCCUUCGGGUUGUAAAGCUCUUUCGCAAGGAAAGAAAACUUAUCCCCUAAUACGGGAUGAGGAUGACGGUACCUUGAUAAGAAGCACCGGCUAACUACGUGCCAGCCGCCGCCGUAACAC